UAGCAAAAACCUAUAAAUUGUACCAAGUUAAAACUUAUUCAUCUUCUUCUAAAGAUUUGUACUAUUAGAUGUCUUAGGUAUUAUGGAAACAUAUCCUGCAUAUUUCUCUGUUAUUUUCCACAUUAGAAUGGAAUUAUUCAUUCGGCUCACUGUAUUCCCUUACCUUAUAUGAUUAAAUUUUAAUACCCUUUUUGUUUGUUGUCAAAAAAUUUUAUAUUUGGUAUAAAAUUAAAUGGAAAUGCAUACCAAUUGAAUGCUUAUAUAAACAAAAUUUAAAAAUGAAAACAUAAAGACUGUGGACAAAGCUCAAUGUCAUUUAUUUCUAGAAAUCAAGCCACAUUUUCUAACGAAGAAACACUAAUGUCAAGACAACAAUGAUGCAGACUUAAACUGAAAUACAAAGAGACU